UAGAGUGAGGCUACUAUGCUAUCGAAAGUACGGAGCCUUCCGUGCUUUCAGCUCAUUUUCGAUGUUGCGGCUUUCGAAUCGUCGAUCAGCUCCGUUAAACUUGAUCUAGAGUAUUUGAAAUACCUAGAAAAUAAAUUUUAUGAUUUUACGAUAUCAUUUACCUAGUGAACGAAGGGGCUCAAAUUCAACGGCUGAAAAUAAAAAUCUUAUAAAAUGUAAUAAUAUGACAUUAAAAUUUUAAAUCAAAGAUAUUGAUCUUGUUUUAUAUAGUAUAAAGAAUUUUCUAUCAAAAUUUCACGUGAUUUGGAUAUUUCUACACCGUUAAACUUGCAAACGGCUCACUACGGCCAUUGAAAUUUAUUGAUUUUGAGCCCAUUCGAUUAUUAGGCAAAUGAUAUCGAAAAAUAAUAAAAUUUAUUUUCUAGGUACUCCAAAUACUCUAGAUCAAGUUUAACGGAGCCGAUUGACGAUUCGAAAGUCGUAACAUCGUAACGAGCUGGAAGCACGGAAGGCUCCGUGCUUCCGAUAGCAUAGUAGUCUCACUCUAUAUAUAUAUAUAUAUUUCGAUGAUGUACGGAAAGUUAAAUCCUGAUGGUUAUGUUUGCUUACAAUCUUUUUCUACUAAGUGGUUUUUUCAUAUAUAUAUAUCUCAACUCUAUCUUAUGAAGAUUUUCAUAAUACUCCAACCACGAAAACUUAAACAUUGGUAACCUACUUUUUUACAUUCCAACCCUACUACUACCAUCCACCACCAUCCACCACCAUCCACCUUAUCAUAAACUAGGUUCCCGAUAAUUAUUAAUUCCUCAUCUAGAUUCCCGAUCUUUAGAUUUUCGUGAUUAACCCACUAUGAAGAUUUUCAUAAAAUCGAGUUAAGAUAUAUAUAUAUAUAUAUAUAUAUCUUUAAGUUUGGAGUCUACAGAAUCUACCGCUAACGUUAUUGUUCAUUGUUGGAAAGAUACCACGUCAUCAACAAGGAAAUAAGUAAUUUUUGUUUUCCAAUUAAAAUAAACAUGGAAGUGUUUCAAUACUUUAUAUUAUUUAUGAGAAGCUUAAAAAUUUUAAAACGUUUACGGGUAGAUUUAUAUUAUAAAAAAAGUAUUUAUGGGAGUGUUAAUUAAAAAAAAUUGAAGGCAGUCAAAUCAUAAAAAAAAUAAAAUGAAGUUUUAUACUUUAAUAGUAAAGUGGGAAUUAAACAAGUGAUAAAUAAAAACCCAAUUAAAGUAAGCAUAGGGAGAUUUAAAGUUUUUAUAAUAUUUAUAGUAAUAUUUAAAAUAAUAUAGUAUUAAUGGAAAGAUUUAUGUAUGAAAGAAAGUUUUUAUAGGAGUGGUAAUAUGAGACAGAAAAAAUUCAGUAUAAUUAGAAUCAAUCUACCACCAGCUUGCGAUCAAUUUUAAACUUUACAAAUAAAAUGGGUACUCAUCUUUGAAAACCUCCUAUAUAAUUAAAAUACUAAAUGAGAAAUUGAGAAUUGAAAACAAGUAAUAAAUAAAUUGUAGGUCUGAUUGUAACAAGCGACUAUAAAAAAUCAUGAUACAUCGAGGAUUAAAAACAAUUAAUAAAUAAAAUCAAUCAAGAUGAAUUUUAAAAUAAAUUGAAUCUAACGAGACAAUCGAUAAUGAAUAAUAUACAAAAAAAAUAAAAUUGAAGAUGCUACAUUAAUUCUAAUAAUUUUAACAACUUUAGUAGUUACAUAACUACUUUAGGCAUUAAAUUAACUGUUUUUAGUUAGGUUAAAGUUCCUUGGUUUAUAAUUCUUCCAAAACUAGUUUUUUUAAUUUAAUUCCCCGAUAAAACAUUACAUAUUAUCAAUUUUCUUUAGAGAUAUAUAAUUAGAAUCUUUUAAACACUACUAUAACUACUUUUACGUAACUCUCAUUUAAGCCAUAAAACUUAAACAAUAUGCACUUGUGCCGUCUCAUUAUCAAUACUCCCAUAAAAAUUUUUAAAAUAUAAAAACUCCCGUUUAUAAACUUUAAAAUUUUAAAAUUUCCCAUAAAUACUAUAAUUUCGAUGAACCUCCUUUAAAAGAGAUUUUAUUUUCCCUCUCUCUCUCAUUGGUGGUUAUGUGUUGUCCUCUUUAUGUACCCUACCUAGUCGCACUUUUGCGGCGAGGAGAAGGUUAGGUUUAGCGAGACGAAAAGGGACGAGAUGGAGGAGUGGUGGGAGGGGGAGAGGUAGAUGCAGAGGAAGAGGGUUAGACCCACGGAGAAGGCGAGGGGGUGGGUGGCGGCGUCGGGGUUGGGGGCGGAGAAGAGGAUGGGGCCGAGGAUACCGCUCGUGUUCAUGCGGGAGGGGUGGUGCGCUGGGCUCACGAGGAGGGGACGGGUGAAGAGUCCAGGUCAAGGAGAGACUUAGGCAUUAAGAGGGACUUAAAAAGCGAGAAACUAGGCCUAAAACCCAAAAGUGCUCACCCAGAAACCGAAACCUAGUCUAAUGCGGUUCCACAAACUCCUUUAGGCGCUUAACGCGCCGUUAGAGAGCGCCCCCUUGAGCAGGCGGAGGGGACAAAACUCCAUGGCCUGCCCAUUUCGGCUGUGGAAACGCCCCUUAAAGAGCUGGGUCUACUCCUUUAGCAAGAAGUUAGUGUCGCUACUACCCCAACUCCAGGGAACACCUAAAAAGUUCCUCAAAGGAUAUUCUCUUAGACCAAGGACCUUAGAUUAGAGAGAGAGAGAGAAAGAAAAAACCAUAUCAAUCGAUAAACUUACCUUCUUAACUUCUACCAACUAGAAAUUUAGACAACUAAGUUAGGUAUAUAAGACUUAAAUUUAGACAACUAAGUUAGGUAUAUAAGUCUUAAACUUAGGUAAACGUACGAAACUACGUAAUCAAACAUUUCCUUUUUUCUUUUUUUUGGUUAGUUAAACAAAGGAUCUUCUUGAACAAGAUGGACCCUUAAACACAUAUACUUGUAAGACCAAUUAUUUAUUCGUUGGAUUUAAACUGGGUAUGAUACACAGAAGUGGAAUUAACACCUCAAAGAAAGUAAAUAAAGUAACGAAUUCAACGUUUUAAACAAAACAUGAAACCAUUACUAAUUCUCGUAACGAAAAAGAAGUUCAAAUGAGACGAAAAAUUCGAAGAAAAGGAGUAAAGUAAGAUUGAUACUUGAGUCUAUUUAAUCGAUACUUUUUCACGCUGCCGCAGCAGCAGCAUAGCCGCCAGAAGCCGCUGGUGCUGUUUUAGGCCGUCGGCUUUCCGAAUCCUCGAGUUUGAGACCUUUGACAAACGAAGAAGUACAAGUAUCUAUUGAGAUGAGUAUUUCGGGAGCGGCGAGUGUUUUAAGAAUCACUACCUCUAUUCCCUUAGUUGUAUUAUCCUCGUACCUCUUAUCACUCCCAAAAAUGGCUACUUAACGGAAUGCUCUUGGGGCGAUACUUGCCACACUAGGGCUUCGUAAACUAAGUGGCCGAGAAGGGCUUAAGAUUCAAGCCGCAUACCAACCUGCGCUUCGACGUCGAUUGACACCUGGGUGACGAAGAUUAAGUAAGUGAAAACUAGCGCUUCCUGCGCCUGUACCGCUAGAGCUUCGUAGGUAAAUUACAUGUAUGAUACCUUCUCCGUUACCGUUGCCGCUCCACCUCCUUCACCCCUCUACAACUCAGAAACUCCCAAGUCUACCUCUGGAUGACACUCUUACCAAACGUCGGUACCAGUGGAUCGUUCGUAGGGAUAUGUUGUCCACGGAGAUGAAACGAGAUAUAUUCAAAUAGAAACGAGAAAGAAGAAGACAACAACCUUAAUACCUCUCUUUGUAUAUUUAAAAAAAAAAAAACUCUUUUAAUUGUAUACUUAAUACGUGAAGAUGAAGAGUCUCUCGUUUCGUUCCACAUCGUAAAUUAAAGACGGUUUUAUAUCAACGUAAACUUUAAAUUAUAGAACAUCAUCGUUACGUGUUAUUCUUGUGGCUAGAGAUAAUCUCCGUGUAAAUGACACUUGGGCUUAACUAGAUGUUUUAAGGAAGCUAUUGUGACCAAUCUUUCCUUUUUAAUUUUCUUCUUGCUGUCGACCUUUCUCAACACUUCCGUUACACCCCUGGUUUGAAAAUUUAAUUUUUCCUAAACAGGUUGAGAAUCCGAAAUUUCACACCAAGAGGUAGGGAAGAAAAUUGUCAACCUCGAAAAGUAAUUCUAACGUAAAUCAAGGAAUAAUAUGAAUCAAGGUGAUUAAACAUCCAAGUCACCGGUAAAAAAUGAAGUAAAAUAGCCAAAUCAAGAGAAGAGUAGAGUGAACGUUAAGGAACACCUAGACUCAGAUGGUAAGAGAAAGAAAUUAACGAAGUUUAGCGGAGAAUGAUCGUUAAGAUAAAACAACCAAAAAGAAAAAAAAAUUUUUUUUUUUCAAAAGGUUUGUCAAGAAGUACUUAAUCACUAUUCUUUGACAUGAGUUAAUAACCAACAUUUAAACAAAAACAGACUCUUCUUGAUUAGUAAGUCGUAUUGGGAUUACAUAAUUGUUUGACGUAUAUAACUUCAGGGAAGGACUACUAUUAAAGAAGUAAAAAUAUUUUUAUUCUUAUUAACGUAACGUCACGGAUUAGAUUCAAAGCAUGUAAUUAUAUAGUUUAUUGUGAAACAAAAAAGCGUGACGGUCAAGAUAACAUGAUUUAAACGGGUGAGUAGUAUACUUUACUAGGUCUACAAGGACUAUGACGUGAUUAAUAUUCCUCCGUAUCGGACCGAUCGUUGGAGAAGAGGACGGAAGAUAAGUUGCUCGAGCUCCGGAAAUUGGGGGCUCUAGUCGAGCGCAAGCGGAUACACUCUCUAAAUUACUCGGGGUUCUAGUUUUAUUUGUACAAGCUCCAGCUCCAUAAGCUCGUGUAACGACACCUCAUGUCCGUGUUGGAGUUCCCGUCGCCUCCUCCUCCACCCGUCCACAAUUCAUUCUAUCGGAGGGGGGCUCUGUAACAGCCCUCGUCAACACUUCCGAUGGAAAACUUCUACACCCCUCUUAGGUCACUAAUUUCUAAUUAUUUCGGUUUUAAUAAUUACUGUCUUUUCUACAUAACUUAGACUAGUUCAAACGAUACGUUUGUGAUUGGUCUAAAUUAUGUCAACACGGCAGUUAUUGUUAAGAAUGACAUAAUUAUAGUAUUCUUUUAUUGGUUCAAUAAUCACUAUAGAGAGAGAGAGCACGUAAAUACCGCUACGCUGCAUGGAACCUCUUUCGGUGAUGGUCUUCUUGACAGUUCCACUCCCGUACCUUGGAAUUAAGAAAAAAACUUUGAAAAGUGACCCCCUAUUUCUUUAGUGUCCCCUCCCAGGAGACUUCACUCACCCAUGUACAACCCCUCCAAACUAACCAUUACAUCGUGUAUCCCUUCCCUCGAUAUUAAAUAGGGAAGGAAAAUCCAAACCGGGUAAACAACUAUCUAAUAAGUAACUAAGUAACAAAUCACAAGGAACACACUUUAUUUUAGGACUUCUUUUUCCAUCGGUAAGAAAAGAAGACCGGAAACACCUCUAACAUUUAUUGUUUAAUAAUUAAGAACAGGACCUAAAACCUGGAGGAAUAUGAAAAAAAAAAAAAAAAAAAAAAACCAUACACUCAGAAUAUGUUCCUCUAUUAUAUUUCGGUACAAGUUUCAUAACGCAACGUGGAAACUUCACGGAAAGAACACCGUCAAGAGUACUUUAUCUUAAACAAAGGACCACGAGAGUAAAGUAAACAUAAGAGAAAAGUCAAGCUUUUUAAAACUUAAGGAACCGUGAAGAAUAGUAUAGGUGGUGUAUAUUUAAGCUUAAGGAAAACACCUAACUAUACAAUGCUUGUAUUUUACCUAUCGUAAGUUUGUUUUGAGUGAAAUGGUACAAUUUGAAUCAUAAUUCAACUACUACUACUAAACCGGUUUUAUAUAAACUAUAUAUCUAUCUGUGUUAUACUGGGAUUAUUUUCAGAAUUUUAACACCACUAUCGAGACCGUCACUUCAGUCUUAUCUAGAACUAUGUUACUUACUACUAAACCUCUUAAAUCACAAAAGGUGUAUGUCUUUAUGAUUAUUUAGUUUGUAGUUGUCUCUGAACAUGAAGUUCUUACUUUUGUUGUUUUGUGAAAAUAUACAUAAACUUUCUCCUAAAACUAUAACUUUUUACGUAAAUAACAUAUUCCAGUACUGAGUGACCGAUUUAUGCUAAUUUAAAUUGCUUAGGCUGUUCGGACAUCAUUUCCAAAGAAACAAUCGUAACGAAGAGUAGCUUGAAGAAGGACAAUCAGCCAUGCGUUGAGAACGAAUAAAAACUUGAGAAAGGUACGCAGAUGCGGUCUGAAAUGGUAGAAGAGAUAGAGUAGAUGUGAACAUCACAGUCCUCUAUCGUACGGGAGGUGGCGAUUGUAGUACAAAUAAUAUCGGACAGUUCGUGGUUCUUCAUUCAACUAUGUACCAGGCUUUUUAUAUCACAAACCAACCCUUUAUCAUUUAUGAGGUGCCUUAAUACCGCUGCGUAUCUUGAUCGGUCAAGAUAGUAUGGGGUAGUUUAAGGAAAAAGAUCCUAUUCCUAACGACUACGUUUAUAAAGUCGACGAGACCAUAAGUGGUGAUAGAAGAGAGCUAAAAAGCGGUUUGGUUUGUGAUGGUUUAAUUUUAUAAAAGAAGUAGUUAGUUCACACUUUCUGAGUGGUUCACUUCUAUCCCGGAGGGCAGCGCACCCCCUUACUCGGCUCUUGAGUAAUAGACGACCGUUUAGAGAAACCGAAACACUAUCAGAAAGAUGUUUGGUCAUAACUAUUCUACAAUGAUUAAGCCUUCUAAGUAUAAGAACUAAUGUGUAAGUAUCGAAAACAUUGUAAAAAUUUCUAUUUAAAACAACAAGACUUUGUAGAUUCUCUUAACAUCUUUUUGAACAGCCUAAGGUGUCUUCUUUCCCGGAAAAAUCCAACAAACUUAUCGAACAUAAUACGAAAUUACAACUUCCUUUAAUGGACUAACUAGUCGUGUUCCCAAUCAUGGUUGGGAUACAGUAUAAAAGAAAGGAAGAGAAGACAACGACUGGUAUUAAACAUAUCGUAUGAUCAAUUGGAAACCCGAGGUAGUCGGGAUAGGUGGCCACACAUCAGGACGUACGUCUAUAUUAAGAAAAAAAUUUUUUUUUUUUGAUUUAUAACAUUAUUUUCAUUCUACUUAAUUUCGUUCUACAACGCAAAUCUCUAGCUCAACUAAAUUAAUCUAAAAAGUUUGUGACUUGGUUGGAUUCUUGUUGUAUAAAUUAUAAACAUAAGUUGUUAAAAAUUUCUCAUCCUCUUUCUGAUUAAUUGUUCGCGAAACACGGAGGAUCCGAGUCUUUUUUAGAGCAGAUAUAGAGAUUAAUUUAUUAGGUUUUUCUUUUAAGAUCAUACUGUGAUAAAUGCGUUCAACCUUUGUGAAUGGUCAAUGUUCUUUUUUGAAAGCGGAGGAGUUGUUUUUAAUACACUACUAAUGAGGGUUUUCUCUGUUUUUUAAUCAGGUAACACAAACGCGGCCGGAAAAAUGAAAAUCUUUAUACAAAAUUCGUUGCAUAAACCAAUAAAAGAAAACAUCUUUAUUUCAAUAGAUUUUUAUGCUUUAUUGACUUAAACCCUCAAUCCUGAGACUCUGUUAACUUCACAUGAUGCUUCAUUGACUUGAAUCCUGUUAACACAGGGUUCGCUUCACAUGACGUGUGUCACUCGUUUAUAAAUCACUCUCUUUCUCUCUCUCUCUCUCUCUCUCUAACUCUCGUUGGGGGAAUCACUCGAGGAGCAUCUCCUCCAGCCGGUUCCACAUGCAGAAGAAAAGCAGGCUGGAGGUCGACAUGCCGUAGUUGAGGAACAUCUAGAGGCGCAUGUGCGCGAGGCCGUCGUGGGGGUGGGAAGGGGGCGGGCGGAGGCAGCCGGGGCGGCCGGCGAAGUCGUCCUAGAGGCAGUCGUGCAGGUCGCAGGCGACGCAGCGGGAGGGGCUGAGGACGGAGGUGAGGCGGCGGCCCCAGGGGGGCGCGCGGGGGCCUCGGACGUCGCGCGCGCGGCGUCGGUGGCGGCGCGUCGGCGGCGGGGGCGGCGGGGUCGGGGAGUCCGUGCGGCGCGGGUGCCGCCGCGUGCAAUCGUGGUGGUGGGGGCGCGAGUGGCGGCGGCGGGACACGCCGCCGGAGGCGGCGGGGCCGCGCCGCGGCCUCGGACGCCGAAGCGGGAGGAGGCGGCCCCCGCCGCAGCGGAGCCGCGCGUGGCGGCGACGCGCCGCCGCCUCGCGCCGCUCCGGCACGCCCGCGUCACGUCCCUUUACCCCGCACGCCGCCGUCUCCCUCCGAAGGUACCUUCUUCGAACUAAUUAAUCCAACACCUCCACUUGCUUUUUAACGCAACACCCACUAACAAUUAAGCCACAAAUAACUGCUCCCUCAGCCCUCAGCACUGAGCACUCUCUCUCGUUACUUCCUAACAGACAAAGAAUACAAACGGGUUGUAAGCUAUAGCCUAGUUGUUGUUAAUUAUAUUCUCACCCCAUGCUUAACGUGAAUUUUAGAUUAUGGUCUUGCUUACGAUUUAAAGGUUGUUUGUUUUACAGUGGAUAUAAAGACAAUGCCUUUUUGGGGGCUUUUGUAGUUGACGUUCGUUUCACCUUACUCUCUACGGACUCAUAUUUAUUCUCUCUCUUUAUAUAUAAGGAUCUCGUGCGGGGUUUUGGUUUUUUUUUUUUUUUUUUUAACUGUCUAGUCUUGGAUCAGAUUUAAGUUUUUUUNNNNNNNNNNNNNNNNNNNNNUAUCUAUAUAUAUAUAUAUAUAUAUAUAUAUAUAUAUAUAUAUAUAGACUGAGUGAAUGACCUAAGUUUAGUUAAAAUUGGGCUAAUGUUCUGGCCCAUAAAAACAAAUCUAAUUGACAAACAAAAGUGUAAAAUUUCACUAAAUUUACACACUCUCUCUUCUUCUGUUUUUUCACAAAGCUCUAAAUCCAUAAUCUCUUUUUCUCUUUCUCUUUUUUCCUAUCUUUCACUCUGAGCAGCCAAGCUUGAAGCCCCCCAAGUUACUAAGUAACAGUAUGUGCCCGUCAUUUUUUGCCAUUAGUUGCGUGCUUGAGAAAAUAUAUAGAAUAUUUUUAAGGUAAAAAAGUAUUUUUUAUACAAAAUUUUGAUUUUAGUUAUAUAUGAUUAGAUAGUUUAAUCCAAUAUUUGUCUAUAUAAUUUAUUCAUUUUUUGACCAUAUAGAUAAAAAAGUAUAAUAUAGAGAUUGAAGGCGAAAAAAAAAAAACAUGCGAGGUUGAAAAGAUUAGAUAUUCAAUUCAUAAAUUAUUUUUCUUUAUAUUAUAAUACCGUAUUUUAUAUAAUUAUUUUGUAUUAUUAGAUAUAUUUUUGUAUCGAAUUGUAGAUAAUGUUCUAUAUAAAUUAAACUUUUGAUCGUACAAUGUUGAGAAUUCAAACGGCUCGGUUAAAGCUCGAGUUUGCUCGACUCGAAAUUAGAUUCGCUCGAGCUUGGCUCGAAUUAAUUUCAAGCCGAACUUGAGUCUAAAUUUAGACUCGAAAUUAAUUUUAAGCUGAAUUUAAACUAAGAUAAACUCGUUCGAGCUUGGCCCGUUUCCACCCUAGACGAGAUUGAGCUGGGCAUUGACUCGGCCUUUGUAAAGCUAUAUCUGCAACCAUUUUUUUAAGACUAAUCAUAUUAUUGGUAAGAGAUAAAUCAUCUCGAUUUGGAGCUUUGUUAGUUAAAAUUUAUUUUAUGUGGUAGAAUUACAAUAAAAUUUUAUGUUAGUUUAAGUUAAAUAAUUUUUAUUUUUAAGAUGUAUGCUUUAAAUAAUGUGGCCGGGGCAGCAAUAUGUGGAUAGAGUUCAAGACGGAGGUUUACUGCUUUAUCUCUUUUUCAAUAAAUUAUUGUUUUGCACUUUCAUGUUAGAAUAUUUUAAGUUUUUUUUAAUCUUAUUUUUAAUUUAUUUAUAAAAAAUAACUAUACACGAGAAUGCCACGUGUUAUUAGAAGGUCAUAUGUAGUUUAGACAAGUUGCAGAGUUUUGUUGAGUUAAUAAUUGAUAUGGUAAUAUAUGUUAAAUUUCCAAACAAUUAUAUAAUUAUUUUUAAUACUAAAAGUUUUUAUAAAAAAUCGUAUAAAUUUAGAGGAAGAAUUACAAAUUUUGAAUUAAGGAAUUCAAGGUUUGUAAUCUCACGGCUCUCUUUAAUGAAAAAUUCUAGAAUGCAACGGGUAUAUUAGUGACGUGGCGUAACAAACCAAUCAAAUUAAUCCUUUUAAAAAUAUAUGUCCCGUCAUGAUUGUAAAAAAGUAUUUUUAUUGUACUUUUGUUUGAAAAGAAGGAAUGUGAUUGGUUUGUUAUUGAUGACGUGGUGCAAGUAUGACAGUAGAAUUCCUCCUCUUUGACCAUAUGCUAGGGGUGUAACGUGGGACGGGCCACAACGGGCUAGCGGCCGGCCCGCCUUUAAUUUCGGGUCGGGCAGUGCCAGGCCCGAGCUGCCCAGCCUCCGGUCCGGCAACCACUCUCCGGCCCAGAAGGCACGGGCCAUGUCGUGUCCGAGCCGUGCUUCAUGACAACCUCUUAAAAUAUUUAUUUUUUUAUUUUUUUAAAAAAUUUUAGUAUAAAAUUUAAAGGUGUAAACAAUAAAUGUUAUUGUUUAAAUAAAUAUUUUAAUUAAAUCAUUAAAAAUUUAUAAAAAUAAUUAUAAUAUAGUAAAUGUUUAAUUUUUUAAAAAAAUAAAAUAAUUUGUAUUAUUUUUUUGAAAAAAAAAAAUUUGGGCCAAUGGACCAAAAUUCUUUGGCCCAUUGGACCAAAACCAUACCUCCCAAGAUCUGUUGAGGAGAAUUCCAAGACGUCCCCAGGAGCUUAGACUUCUGCUUUGGGCCUUGGGUCCGGGCCAUACUGUGCCGAGCCAUCGGCCUCUCUUAGGUACGGCAUAGUCCAGGCCCGUUUCGGGUCGGGCCAUGCCGGGCCAUCGAGCCUCAAAGUAAAGGCCUAGCACGGCCCGAAAGCCAUGGCCAAGGAAAAAUUCUAGAAUUCAACGGGUAUAUUGGUGACAUGGCGUAACAAAUCAAUCAAAUGUCUCUUUUUAGGGGUAUAUGUCCCAUCAUGAUUGUAAAAAAAUAUUUUUAUUGUACUUUUGUUUGAAAAGAAGAAAAUAUGAUUGGCUUAUUAUUGAUGACGUGGUAUAAGUGUGACAGUAUAGAAUUCCUGCUGGCCGAGCCCGCCCAGCACAAAUGCUACAGUACCCAUGUUGGUAGUCCGGCCUAAGGCCAUGCCAAGCCGGGCAGCCCACGUGCCGUCUUGCCCGUCUUACAUUCCUACCGUACGCUAAGCAUUUCUUUACCUACUCCAUCUACUUAGCUUGAAAAUUCAGAGAAGAGAACUAGUGCUCAGAGUCGAUCCACUCUAGUUAAUAGAGUUGGUCCACUUUUGCCAUUGACUUGGACCAAUCUGAAUUUUGAUUUUUAAUUAUUUUUUCAACGGUAUGAGGUUACACCUAAGAAGCAAUUAUGUUUCUAAAGUAUAAAACACAUCUUUACUUCUUCGGUCGCGAUUUUUACUAUAAUUUUAUAAUUUUGGUGGUGAUGUAUUAGCUGAUAUAAUGCAGUGCAAAUCAGAAGUCUUUGUAAUGAUGGAUCUGCAAUCACUUUUUUAUGGUAGUCACAUUGUGUUAUUAUUUUUAUACUAAAAUUUAAAUGGUUGGUUUUGCUUAAGGAAUUAGGAUCGAAUUUGCAAAAGCAAAGAUAAAGGGGUUUAGGUGUUAUAAAUUUGAGUUAGUCUAAAAGAGCUUUAUAGCUAAAUCUGGUGGAGACUAGAUCUUCCUAAUUAUUAUUAUUAUUAUUUUUUUUGAGAAAAAGGUAGCGCGCUACCGCUUCAUUCAUUGGAAAAAUGAACUAGGCUACAGGGGUGGGGCAACUAGGGCCCCGGAACAAAAUAAAAAUAAAAAUAAAAACUAAAAUAGAAAUAAAGAUAAAAAUAGAAAAAGAAAUUAAAAUUCAAGUAGAUAGAGCCGAAUCCCACUCCUUCAGUAACUGCCGGAGAGUGAUAACAACCCUCUCAGGGUUUGGUUGUAUUUCCCUAAAGAUCAUGUCGUUUCUGGCCUUCCAAAUGCACCACCAGCAACCGGCUAAAUCAGUAAGGCAGGCCCUUUUCUUCCUUCGGCUCUUCCUAAUCCUCCACCUGUCCCAAGCACGGGUGACCUCUUCCUCCAUGUCUAGCGUCUGAACUCCAUCAACUCCCGACACUAAGAUGAACUUGCUAAAAACACACCCGGUGAACAAAUGGUCUACUGUUUCCUCGGCCGACCCGCAUAGUACGCAGGUUGAGUCUUGAACCCAACCUCUUUUAGCUAAUCUAUCGGUCGUAGGUAUUCUCUUAUUAAGGACCAGCCAGCAGAACACUUUAACCUUAAGAGGGAUUUUGACUCUCCAGAGAUGAGACGCACGCGCAUCCCUCGUACCCCCGUCCGACAACGACACAUAGGUCGAUUUUACAGAGUAAGAACCAUCGUUGCUCCAUCGCCAUUGUAUAGUAUCUGAUCUAUUCUCCGUGGAAUAGUGUGAAAUCCUAUCUUUGAGCUCCGCGAGGCUGGUUCUCGUCCCUUGCCCUUGGUUGAAAACGACUCCCAAAAUCCUACUCCACUCCCAACUACCCCUCGUAAAGCAAUCACUAACUUUUAGGUUUUUUCCGACAAGAGGAAAGCCUCGGGGAAUAACAGGUUUAGCGUGUUAUCCCCACACCACCGAUCUAACCAAAAGUCGAUGUCGCACCCGUUACCAAGCUUGUAGGCCUUCCCCCAAGAGAAGAUAGUGCUGUGGCAGAGAACUCCCCUCCACCAGCUUGAGUAGGGUCUAAAUGAUCUGCCUUCUCUCAAAGGUAUUCUUCGGCGAUAAUAUAAGUCUCUGAUUAGCUUGUUCCACUGUAAUUGAGUACCUGUGUAGAAUUUCCACCACCAUUUAGUGAGUAGCGCUUGGUUCAUGAUCGCUAUAUCCAAGAUCCCUAAACCGCCUUCCUCCUUGCUCCGGCAUACAUUCUUCCAAGCCAUCAAGCAGCCCUUUCCUGCGGCGUUUCGCCCACCGUUCCAGAAGAAGUCCCUUCUAAGCGCUUCGAUGCACUUAAGUACCCAUUUGGGUGCCUUGAAUACAGAUAGGGCGUAAAGGGGUAGGUUAGUUAACACCGCGUUUACCAGAAUAAGUCUGCCUCCCCUCGAAAGCAGUUUGGCGUGCCACCCGUCUAAUUUGCUAUGCAAUUUACGGAUAAUCCCCCUCCAGGCCUCUUUUGACGGAGGUUUGGGAGACAGGGGUAGACCCAAGUAGUUGGUCGGGAAAACGCCCACUUUACAAUCCAGAAUGUUUGCUAACCUAGUAGCUUUUCCAUGAUCUCGGCCCAGGUAGAAUAACUCCGAUUUGUCUCUGUUGACUUUCAAGCCUGAAGCCCAUUCGAAUAGGUGCCAUAGAAAUUUGAGGUUCCUUGUACACCUUUUUGUUGCCACUCCAAAAAAGAAUGUGUCGUCCGCAUAUUGAAUAAGGGUGACCCUACUUAUCUCUGACGGACCCAAGCCUUGGAUGAGAUUAUUGGAAACCGCUGCGUUAGUCAAACGAGGCAAACACUCUGCCACCAGAAGGAAGAGGAACGGCGACAGAGGGUCCCCUUGCCUCACACCUCUUUUCGUCUUUAUCCAAUUAGUCGGUUCACCAUUUACAAGUAUCGCCACUUUUGCGUGACAAACGCAAAGUUCAAUCCAACGACACCAUUUUUCGUUGAAGCCCCACCACCGUAGAAUACUAAACAGGAAGGGCCAAGAAAUCCUAUCAUAGGCUUUUUCGAAAUCUACCUUGACCCCCACUCCCUCCACUGCCGUCUUGGUGCCCCAACUAAUGAGUUCAGACACCGUCGCGAAAGCGUCUGUGAUGCUCCUUCCUUUCAAGAAGGCCGACUGAGAAGUGGAUAUAAGGUCCUUCAUGACCCGCUCAAGGCGGUUGGCCAAGACCUUAGAUAUGAUCUUUUGGAUCCCAUUCAACAGGCUAAUCGGUCGAUAGUCGUUGGCCCGUUCGACCCCCUCCUUUUUAGGAAUUAAACAGAUGUACGUAAAGUCGAUGGGGUCAGUAGAGAGACUCCCUGCGUGCAUUUCCUGAAAUACCUUUACGAUAUCCUCCUUGACAGUAUCCCAAAAAGUUUGGUAAAAGCUUAGCGGAAAGCCGUCGGGGCCCGGUGCCUUAUCCUUUCCCAGUUGAAACACGGCUUCCUUGAUUUCUUCUAGGCCGAAAGGUUCAGUAAGUCUAACCGAAACAUCUACUGCUACUCGAUUAGUCUGGAAUAAUCUGCUCCAAUCCCCCCAAGAAUUUGGGGCUGAAUCCGCUGGUGUGAAGAGCUUCUUGUAGAAGCGAUAGAAGUAGCUCUUUUUCUCCUCUUCAGAUUGGUAAGUGACCCCAUUAUCAACAACCGUGCCAAUCCAGUUAGCCCUGCGUCUGUCGUUCGCUAUGGAGUGGAAGAAUUUUGUGUUGCCGUCUCCUUCGCGUAACCAGUGUUGUUUGGCCCUGGUUUUCCAGACAGCAGUUUCAUCGUUUAUCACAGUUCUAAGCUUGGCCUUUAGCUCCUCUCUUUGCAAAAAGACAGCCUGCGGAAGUGGGUCCUGCUCCUCUGCUUUAUCGAUUGACUGAAUUGCCUCCGAAAGGUAGUUCUUACGCCCUCUGAUGCUAUAGAAUUCGUUAGCACACCACUCCCUUAUCCUAUGUCGACAAUGACGCAGCUUCGCCGUGAAAGAUAACACAGCUGACUUCCCCUGCGCACCCUGCGCCCCUUCCAUCCACCAUCCCGGCAGUUUAGAACGAAAACUCUCGUGAUUCAGCCACGCUUCCUCAAAGCGAAAUGUCUUGAAUUUUGCUUUGGUUCUCGCCUCCGCCGUAAGUAAAAUAGGACAAUGAUCCGAAGUAAUCCUAGGGAGCGCUUCCACUCGCGAAAGAGGAAACGCCAGAUCCCAUUCCGUUGAGACUAAAAAGCGAUCGAGUCUCGCACACGUGGGGUUCGCUUGCAAAUUGGACCAUGUGAACGCUUGAUUGGGCAUAGGUGGGUCGAUCAAGGCUAGCUCUUUAAUCAAAUCAUUGAACAGUCUAGUAGCCUUGGAACUCCAAGUCUUGCCCUCCUUUCAUGCUGUCCCCUUGUGCAAUUAAAGUCACCACAAAUGAUCCACUUGCCCACACAUUCCUCCUUGAGUUGGGCCAAUUCCGCGAAGAAAUCUUCUUUUCCAUCCCAGGAAGCGGGCCCGUAGACAUUAGUGACGAAAAAGUUUACCCCCCCCCGUGGCUGAGGAUAGCUGGACCGUAACGGAGAAAGUUCUAACUAACACACUUAGGCAGGAGAAAAAACGCGAGCUCCAUGCCGUGAUAACCCCCCCUGAGGCCCCGUUGGCAGGUAGAAAAGCACAUUUAUUAACCAAACGGCCACCAAAGCUACUUAAGAAAGUGUAAACUGCACGUUUGGUCCUCCAACUAUUAGGUGGGUGACAUUCAUUUAAGGUUUUCAAAUUUUAAUAUAUUAUAAUUUCUGGCUGGAACAUUUACAAUUAUUGUAAUUACAUUCUAUAAUAUAAUUUAGUAAGUUAAAUAUAAAUAACUUCCAAGAAUAAACGUAAUGUAGUACUGCUAUGAUGACAAUGCACUAAUAGCUAAAAAACUAUAUCACUUUUAUAUUAGUGAUGUGUUAUUAUUUGGUCAACUAAAUUGAAUUGUAAAAUUUGAUUGCAAUAAUCUAAAAAUUUGAGUCCAAAGUUAUAACAAAUUAUAGUUUAAAGACUAAAGUGUCACUCGUCUCAUAGUUUGGAAAUAUAUUUAUACACUCCAAGAGUUUUAAAAUCUUUUUAAAAAUUUUUAGUAUUUUUUGAUGUGACAAAUGAGGUGAUCCCAACCUUUGAGAGGCUAGGGUACAAGAUUUGCACCUACAGGCUACAGGAUAAAUGUAUCGAUAGCAUUGCUAUACUAAAAUUUAAUAAAAAGUGUCUAAAUCAUUAGAUUGAUAGGCUCUAAAAUUUAAAGCCCAUGUUUAAAUGACUAUUUCGCUUAAUAAAUAGAGGGUGUAGAUAAAUAAAAAUCAUAUCCUCUCUAUUCUCCCAUCGGAUCUUAUGAUUUAGAGCAAUGUUGAUUGCACAGUUUACUGUAGGAUGUAAAUCUUUUUUUUCUUUUUUUUUUUCCGUUCAAAGGCUAAUAUUUUUGUGCCAUAAAUUUCAACAUAUUUUUUACACUAUAAUGCUUUUAAAAAAAAUAAUUAAACCCUAAUUUAGUGGGUAUAGGAUGUACAUCUUAGACAUUGAUGAGUGUACCAGUAGUAUUUGUUAAUGUUUUACGUUAAGACGGAUAAACCAUCUUCUGCAGAUCAUGACUACAUUAUAAUAAAAAAUAAUAUAAUAUAUAUAUAAAGAUAAGUAAAAAUUUUAUUAAAAAAAAUAAAUUUAUAGUUCAGUGACAUAAUCUUAUUCUGUCUUUUAAAUAGUUUAAUUUACCUAUUACAUAUUUUUUGGAAUUAUAAAAUUCCUACGCAUGAACAUAAAAAUUAAUUUUUAAAAUGAUCAAAUAUUUCGACUCGGGCUGCAGUUAGGGACCGUUUGGUUAGAUGUAAUUAUAAAUACAGUAUAAUUAGAGAUGUAUGUAGUUGAAAAUGCAGAAGUUAUAACUAUAUGCAUCAUAUUUGGUUGGAUGUAGUAAAAAGCGCUGCAACUAUAAAUAAUUUAUUUGGUUGCAUGUAGUUGAGAAAUAAUUUUUAAAAUUUUAUCAUUUUACACUCUUCAACGGUUGUAAUUAGAACUGCGGCCAAUUUGGGCGUAGUUCCAACUGCUGCAAUUGGACCACUUCCUGCAGUUCGUACUGCAGUAGUUGGAGAUAAAUACAUUAAACCUAAUAUCGAAUUUGAAUUUGCAUGCAGUUACAAUUGCCGUGCAGUUGCAACUACAUACAACCAAACGCCCUUAGUUGUGUUACAUAUUUAAUUGUCACAUGAAUUUAUUAAUUUGUUAAUAACGAUAUGACAAAAAAUACGACACAUCUUAUCUAUUAAAUAUUAAGUUAUUAUCUCAAAUCAAUUAUGACUAAAUACUGAAUUGUCAUCAGUUUGCUAACACCAAAGAUGCAGUAGCAAAAUAAAAGAUAAACGAAGUCAGGAUUCAAUCACGAGGGGCCAAAAUAUGUAUAAAUAAAAAUUUUAGCAGAUAAACAAGAUUUUAACUAUUUAAAUUUUUAAUAAAAAAUUUUAAUAAUUAGAUAAUUAAUAUUAAAAAAUAUUAAAUUUAUUUUUUUAAUUUACAGUCGCUUAACUUCUAAUCAUUUUAUUUGCAUUAUUCCAUUCAAAUAAUUUAAAAAUUUUACUAAAUUUAAUAGUAAUUUAGUUAGAAUUUAAUUUUUUUAAUUUUUGUUAAUAAAAUAAUAACAAUCAAUGACUAAUAUCUAGCAGAGCUAUUAAAUUUAGCAUACUUUUUAAUUUAAUUAAAUAAAUUAGCCCAUAAAAAAAUGAUUAGAAAGUUAAGAAUGUGUAAAUAAAAUAUUUAAAGUUGAAAUGACUUAUUUUAAAAUAUACUAUAAUUAAGAGAUUCUUAGCAUAUUUUUAUCUAUAAAACACAUUAAAAGAGAAAGAGCUCUAUAUUAGCACUAAAAUUUUUUUAUAACAUAAACACAUAUAUUUUAAAAAUUAACUAAAAAUUUAUACUAUAAACUAAAUAUUGAAAAGUUGAGAAUGGCUAUAACCCCUUUGGGUCUAUAAAUGGCUCCAUUGGAGAUAAAGGGCGUGUUUGGUUCGAAGUUGGAGUCGGAAUCGAAAUCGGAAUCAAAAUAAGCUGGAAUCGGAAUCGGAAUGACUCAUUACCUAAUUCUGUUUGGUUCAUCACCUGAAUCGGAAUCGGAAUAAAUCAUUCCCAUUGUCGGUGUUUGGUUCAGGUGGAUAUAAAAAACGUAAUCAAAUUAAUAUACUAACAUUAUCUUUAUAAUAUAUUAAUUUAAAUUCAAAUUAAAUAUUAAAUAUUAAAAAUUUACAUCAAAAUUUUGAAAUAAUGUCAAAAUUUUAAAUCUAUUUUUUUAAAAAAAAUUAAACUUUGAAGUUGAGUGGAUAAUUCAAAAUGUGAAACUAAAUUUUGAUUUAUUCAAAUUCAAACUAAAAUUACAAUUUAAAUUUUAAUUUGAAUCUAUAAAUUUAAUUUAAGUUUGAAAUAAAAUUUGAAUAAAACUUUAUAUAAAUUAAAAUUUAAUUUAAAUUCAAAUUUAUAAGUUAGAUUCGAAAUACUUGAUUAAAUUUUAAAUUUUAAUUUAAGUUCAAAUUAAAAUUUAAAAUUAUAUAUUUAAUUUUUAAAUUUUAACUCAUAUCUUAAUUAAAAAAGUUGAAAAAAUAAAUUUAAUCCGAAUAAAUAUCCAUUCCGUCCGGAUUCAACUUCCAAUCUGACCUUCUAGACCGGAUUGAAAAAUGAGGUGAUUGGGGGAUUCUCAUUCCACUCGAGAAUGGGAAUCGGAAUGGGACUCCCGCAUACCAAACACCCACAAACGGAUUCACCCAUUCCGAUUCCGAUUCCAGGGUGAAAAAGAAGCGAACCAAACACGCCCAAAGAGUAAACUAUAACCAUUUGUCACUUGUUUGGUUCUGCAGUUACCUUGAUAAAUAAUGUCCGAUAAGUAAUUGUGAGUUGGAAAUUUGUCUUUUCAAUAAAUUUAUUUGAAGAUGGAUGAAGAGAAAUAACUAAAAUUAAAUCUAUUACACCCAAACCACAAAACACAGCAAAAUAAUCACGUAAAAUAUGAAGAAUGCUUCUUGCACACCUAUUAUGCAAGUGUAAGAUUUAUAUUUCAAUCUCUCAAAAUCUAAGGGGUUGUUCCUAGAGCAAGUGACAAAGGAUUUGGUGGUUGGUAUCCGAAACCGAAGUUCGAAUUCUAAUUGAUUCACAUUUCUAGCUAUGUUUAUUUCGUUUUUUUGAGAGAUAGGUAGCACGCUACCCGCUUCGUUUAUUUCAUUUAAAAAUAAACUUAGUCUUACUUCUAAGUUUAUUUUUAAAUGAAAUAAAUUCCACUUGGCCUUGCAACUGCAAGCAAAGUGGAAUGAGAGAUGCCUUAUUUCUAAGAGAGAGAAAUUAAUUCCUUGCGUACGCCCCAAACCCAAAAAAAAAAAAAAAAAAAAACUUGACAUAUAGAAUUUAGUCUUACUUAAAAAAUAUAUAUAUAUAUUUAUUAGAUAUUCUUCUCUCAUUUCUUUGCUUGAAUACUAUGUGAACUUUAAUAUAUAUAUAUAUAUUAUAUAUAUAUAUAUAUAUAUAUAUAUAUAUAUAUAUUAUAUAUAUAUAUAUAUAUAUAUAUAUAGAGUGAGGUUACUAUGCUAUCGAAAGCACGGAGCAUUCCGUGCUUUCAGCUCAUUUUCGAUGUUGUGGCUUUCGAAUCGUCGAUCAGCUCCGUUAAACUUGAUCUAGAGUAUUUGAAGUACCUAGAAAUAAAUUUUAUGAUUUACGAUAUCAUUUACCUAGUGAACGAAGGGGCUCAAAUUCAACGGCUGAAAAUAAAAAUCUUAUAAAAUAUAAAAAUAUGACAUUAAAAUUUUAA
rnacentral:lncRNA from 1 species